AUUGAACGCUGGCGGCAGGCUUAACACAUGCAAGUCGAGCGGAGAGAGGUAGCUUGCUACUGAUCUUAGCGGCGGACGGGUGAGUAAUGCUUCGGAAUCUGCCUAUUAGUGGGGGACAACCUUUCGAAAGGAAUGAUAAUACCGCAUACGUCCUACGGGAGAAAGCAGGGGCACUUCGGAACUUGCGCUAAUAGAUGAGCCUAAGUCGGAUUAGCUAGUUGGUGGGGUAAAGGCAUACCAAGGCGACGACCGGUAGCGGGUCUGAGAGGAUGAUCCGCCACACUGGGACUGAGACACGGCCCAGACUCCUACGGGAGGCAGCAGUGGGGAAUAUUGGACAAAGGGCGCAAGCCUGAUCCAGCCAUGCCGCGUGUGUGAAGAAGGCCUUAUGGUUGUAAAGCACUUUAAGCGAGGAGGAGGCUACUUUAGAUAAUACCUAGAGAUAGUGGACGUUACUCGCAGAAUAAGCACCGGCUAACUCUGUGCCAGCAGCCGCAGUAAGAC
rnacentral:rRNA from 1 species